rnacentral:rRNA from 1 species
GAUGAACGCUGGCGGUGUGCCUUAGGCAUGCAAGUCGAACGAGAAUCUUAACUUCGGUUAAGAGGAAAGUGGCGAACGGGUGAGUAACGCGUAGACAUUUACCUUCAAGUGGGGGAUAGCUCAUCGAAAGAUGGGGUAAUACCGCAUGUGAUCGCAAGAUCAAAGCUUUCGGGCGCUUGGAGAGGAGUCUGCGUCCUAUCAGGUAGUUGGUGAGGUAAUGGCUCACCAAGCCUAUGACGGGUAGCCGAUGUGAGAGCAUGAUCGGCCACAAGGUCACUGAGACACGGGGCCUACACCUACGGGUGGCAGCAACCGGGAAUAUUGCGCAAUGGACGAAAGUCUGACGCAGCGACACCGCGUGUGGGAUGAAGCUUUUCGGAGUGUAAACCACUGUGGCAGGGGAUGAAUUCAUGACAGUACCCUGCUAGAAAGCACCUGCUAACUACGUGCCAGAAGCCUCGGUAAUACGUAGGGUGCAAGCGUUAUCCGGAUUUACUGGGCGUAAAGAGUUCCGUCGGCGUUUUUGUAAGUUGUUUGUUUAAGCCUGGGGCUCAACUCCAGAAAAGCACACAAAACUGCAAGAAUUGAGUUUGUUUGGGGAAG